rnacentral:rRNA from 1 species
ACAUGCAGUUGAGCGCUGAGGUUGGUACUUGUACCAACUGGAUGAGCAGCGAACGGGAAAGGGCCCGUGGGGAAUCUGCCUUCAGCAGGGGACAACAUUAGGAGCGCUACUAAUACCGCAUAAAAACUUUAAACACAAGUUUUAAGUUUGAAAGAUGCAAUUGCAUCACUCAAAGAUGAUUUCGCAUUGUAUUAGCUAGUUGGUGAGGUAAAGGCUCACCAAGGCGAUGAUACAUAGCCGACCUGAGAGGGUGAUCGGCCACAUUGGGACUGAGACACGGCCCAAACUCCUACGGGAGGCAGCAGUAGGGAAUCUUCGGCAAUGGACGAAAGUCUGACCGAGCAACGCCGCGUGAGUGAAGAAGGUUUUCGGAUCGUAAAACUCUGUUGGUAGAGAAGAACGUUGGUGAGAGUGGAAAGCUCAUUAAGUGACGGUAACUACCCAGAAAGGGACGGCUAACUACGUGCCAGCACCCGCGGUAAUACGUAGGUCCCGAGCGUUGUCCGGAUUUAUUGGGCGUAAAGCGAGCGCAGGUGGUUUAUUAAGUCUGGUGUAAAAGGCAGUGGCUCAACCAUUGUAUGCAUUGGAAACUGGUAGACUUGAGUGCAGGAGAGGAGAGUGGAAUUCCAUGUGUAGCGGUGAAAUGCGUAGAUAUAUGGAGGAACACCGGUGGCGAAAGCGGCUCUCUGGCCUGUAACUGACACUGAGGCUCGAAAGCGUGGGGAGCAAACAGGAUUAGAUACCCCUGGUAGUCCACGCCGUAAACGAUGAGUGCUAGAUGGUAGGGAGCUAUUAAGUUCUCUGUAUCGCAGCUUAACGCAAAUAAGGCACUUCCGGCCUGGGGGAGUACGACCCGCAAAGGUUGGAAAACUUCAAAGGGAAUUUGUACGGGGGGUCCCGCACCAAGCCGGUGGAACAUGGGCUUUACUUCCGAAGCAACGCGAAGAACCUUAACCAGGGGUCUUGUGAACUACUACUCUUCGGUGGCUUAUAUUGC